UUUGUUUUAAUUGGUUUUUAAUUGGUGUUGCAUAUCAUUAAAGGAUUAUUAUAUUGUUAUGUUAAAUAGAAGUGGAGAGUUAAGGAAAAUUUGUUUUCAUUGUUGUAUAAUGAAUAUUAGUUUUUUUUGUUUUGAUAUGUCGAUCUCUAUUAUAUCUGUGUUUUUUGUUCUUUUAGAAAUUUUUUUGUUUAUUUUUUAUUUUUGGGAAUGUAUGAUUUGAAGUUUUAUUUUUUGUGGUGUUAUGACUUGUCCUUUUGUUUUUUAUGUGUUGUUGUAUUUUUGAUAUUAAUUUUUUAAUAUUUUGAGAAUCUUUGUUUUAGUAAGUGUUUUUUAUUUUUUUGUUUGUUUGAAUUUGGUUUUGAUAACUUGAGGUGCAAUCAAAUGUUUUUUAAAGACUUAUGUUUUUAUAUAGAAUUGUCUUCUGCUCUAUGAUUUUUUAAAUGGCAGCCUUAGCGUGAGGGCAUAAAAGUAGCAAAAUGAUUUGUGUUUUUAUUGGAUUCGAGUAUGAAUGGAGGUAUUGGUUGUUUUUAUUCUUCUUUUUUUCUGAAUUAUUUUUAUAUUUAAUAAUUAAUAUAAGUAAUUUUGCAAAGAUAAGUCUUCGGAAAUUCUGUUGAUUCGUUAUUUUUGUUAAAGUGGUGAGUUGGGUUUUUUAGGGCAAAUGAGUAUGUAGUUUUGUUUUUACUAUUUUUAUUUUAAUGAGUUACUCCGGAGUUAACAGAAAUUUACGUUUUUUCUAGAUGUUAUAGAAAAAAGGAUUUUACAUCGAUGUUGUAUUUUAGUUGGGCGAAGAAGUAGUAAAUUUGUUUUUUGAGACUGUUCUUCUUUUAAUAAACUAAACGUGAUAUUAGUUUAAUUCAUCGUGAGAUAGAAUUGAUUAUCUUGAGGAUUACUUUUUUUUUGUGUGAUUAGUACGAAAGGAACGUUAUUAGGAUUUUAAAUUUUUUUUAU
rnacentral:rRNA from 1 species